AUCCAGUGUGGUCUUGAAUAUAUUAGGGAUGGGGCUUCCACAACUUCUCUGGGCAACCUGUUGCAGUGUCUCACCACCUU